GACGAACGCUGGCGGCGUGCUUAACACAUGCAAGUCGAACGGUGAAGCGCCUUCCUUUUUGGUGGGUGUGGAUGAGUGGCGAACGGGUGAGUAACACGUUAGUAACCUUCCCCCUCCUUCUGGAUAACCGCAUGAAAGUGUGGCUAAUACGGGAUAUUCUGGGUCUGUCGCAUGAUUGGUCUGGGAAAGAUUUUGUUUCGGUGGGGGAUGGGCUCGCGGCCUAUCAGCUUGUUGGUGGGGUGACGGCCUACCAAGGCGGUGACGCGUAGCCGGCCUGAGAGGGUGGGCGGUCCCGGUGGGGCUACGCCACCGCCCCGACUACGACAGGCAGCAGCAGGGAAUAUUACUGCACGAUGGGCGGCAGGCUGGAGCAGCGCCGCCGCGGGGAGGAUGGAGGCCUUCGGGUUGUGAGCCUCUUUCGCCAGUGAAGCAGGGCUGCCUCGUUUGUGGGUGUGUUGACGGUAGCUGGAUAAGAAGCGCCGGCUAACUACGUG
rnacentral:rRNA from 1 species